rnacentral:rRNA from 1 species
AUACGAAGGGGGCAAGCGUUGUUCGGAAUAACUGGGCGUAAAGCGCACGUAGGCGGAAUGUUAAGUUAGAGGUGAAAUCCCAGGGCUCAACCCUGGAACGGCCUUUAAUACUGGCAAUCUAGAGACCGAGAGAGGUGAGUGGAAUUCCGAGUGUAGAGGUGAAAUUCGUAGACAUUCGGAGGAACACCAGUGGCGAAGGCGGCUCACUGGCUCGGUACUGACGCUGAGGUGCGAAAGCGUGGGGAGCAAACAGGAUUAGAAACCCUAGUAGUCC